CCUAGCAUUCUAUCUUUUGUAGGGCUUCUGUUCAAGACCAUGAGCCACGUAAGGAAAUUGUGUCUAGGAAUACCUCUUGAGGGCCAGACCACAGAACGCCAUGGAACUCUUGGCUUGUGGAGCUUGAUUUCCUUAUAGAUCAUCCCCGUGAAGUAGGUUGUCAAAGAUCAGACCGAGCGUGAGGAAGGCGCCACCUUCCAUCCUGGUAGAGGUCCGCCAGAGUAGUGAAAGGUCUGAUGCCAAGACUUGUUGUGGGAGGAAGCUGCAGGUACUCUCUCAGGUUCCCGUAUGGGCUCCAAUUGUCCGACCAAAAUCUGCUUCUCGCUCCAUUCCCUGGGUCCACAGAUUACUGAGAUCGCCUGAGAGAAUGUUAUCUAUAAACCAGGCCACCCAAAUAGAUCCCGCCCGGAAGAAGAGAAGCCAUAGCAUCUUUAUCGAACAAGCUUUAUUCCACCAGACAAGAUCUCUGAUUCCAAGUCCGCCUUCCUCCUUUGCUAAGGUGGAGCACCAGAAGUUUGAGAUGCCAGCAAUGACGGUGUUGAUGAGCAGAAGUCUUCCUGCAAAAGAUAGUGAUUUUACAGUCCAGCUGUUGAUCCGGCUCUUUACCUGUUGGAUUAGUAGCUCACAAUUAGACAUUGCUGAUGAACACCACUAGCGAAGAAGCAUGUUCUGGAGAUGCUGACUGAGAGGCCGGAGAGCUCCUUGAAUUCUUCUAGCACUUGGAGGACGUUGGUAACCGAGCGAAGAGAGCCAUCACAGAAUAUCAGAAAGUCAUCCGCAAAGUAAAGGUGAAUAAGCUUAGAGGAUUGACACGCAUGAUGAUACCCAAAUUUACCUUCUGCUGCUGCCUUAUCUAACAGCAUUGACAAACAGUUCAUGGCGAUGACAAACAUGUACAGGGAGAGCGGGUCACCUUGUCUAAGGCCUCUGUUACUUUUGAAGUAUCCUGCACCGUACCAUUAAAGCCAAUUAAAAUAAAGUUGAUCAGUCUUACUAUAGGUACCACAGCGGACACAUGUGCUUUCUCUAGGACAAUGCCGUUCAUUUAGUUGUUUCGUUGUCGCUAGAUAUCUUGCCGUUAUUUGCCGUAAGAAGUGUUUGAGCUUUCUCGGAGCUUUGAUCUUCCAUAUUGAAAACAUGGAUUUCCUGCUACUAUGCGCCAAGGCCAAUGGAGUGAGUUCAGAUGUGCUAGUUGCAUUCUCGUGGAUUACUUGGUAUAUCUGGAAAGCGCGUUACGAAAAUUGUUUUAAGGAUAAGGAUAUUUCACCGAUAGAUACACUUCAACUCGCAGUCAAGGAAGCCGAAAGCUGGAUGCUAGCACUGAGAAUAGAAGUAGAACCGGACAGAGAUGUAGACGAGCAUCAAGGCAUGGAGAUCAAAGGCUUGCAGGAGCCACACUCAUGUCGCUGGAGAUGUCAAACGGACGCGUCUUGUAUCAAUGCGAACGAUAAAACCGGACUAGGUUUUGUAAUGCCCAACAGUGGAACCCCGGUCUUGUUUGGAGCGCAAGGAAUAAGAUAUGCCGCAUCCUCUCUCCAUGCUGAAGCGAAAGGCCUGCUGUGGGCUAUGCAGGAGAUUUUGAAGCUCGGGAAUAGAGAGAUCCGGUUCGAGACUGACUGCGAACAACUGGUUAAGCUAGUGAAAGAUGAUGAAAACUAGCCAGCAAUGGUGCCUGGAGUAGAUGAGAUUAAAACACUCUCUACUGAUUUUAUCAACUUCUCUAUAGCUCACAUUCCAAAAUCGAUGAAUGUUUGUGCUGACUUCCUUGCUAAAGAAGGAAGAUCACGAGUAUUUGGGUUUUCUUUUGUCAAUGGCUUUGCACUAAGUUGGCUAGCUCC